AUAACAUGCCUAUAUGUUACGACUGCUUUGCACUGUUCUGAAUUGAUACUGCAUUAAAUUGUUCACUUAUUAACAGUUUCUUUGCUAAUUUUCUUUAUGGUGAUGAUGGCAAACAUCUGUUAAACUGGACAGGCUGAAGCUUAGAUGCAAGAGGAAUGAAGCACAUGUGUCUGUAUGUACCCAUCACACUUUUCAAGACUACGUCGCUGAACAGGGUAACGAGAAUAAUACGCCACUGAAAUGAAUGCCCAUCAAAACUGCCUCACAGCAGCUAUGUAUUCUAAGAUGACAUGCACACACACAUUUUUCUAAUGCAGGUGUUCAACAAAUAAAUAUAACUCUGAAGAACGGCUAAUAUGAACAUUGAGACAGCUGCAUUUCAAGGUUGCCUCAACCAAAAUGAACAACAGAUGACUGUGUAUGCUCUUUUGGCCUCACAGACACACAAAUGAUGAUACAGAAUUAGAUCAAAGUACUGGUAAAUUAAAACAGUAAAUCUAGCCGUGAGUGAAUAGUACUCGGAAAAUGGCAGCAGUGGAUAGACUUAUCUUGCAAAUGUCCUUGCACUUUCCAGCAUUGGCAAUUCUUGCCUUUGCUCCUUUCAGUAUCACAUCAAGAGGAAUAAAUAUGCCAUCUUACACAGAGUGUGUGUGUGUGUGUGUGUGUGUGUGUGUGUGUGUGUGUUAGACACACUGCACUUUAUAUGUUUAAGGAAGCUAGAAGUGAAAACAGCUUGCGUUGUACCAUGGCAAUCUACAGUUGUACAAUCUGGGACAGAGUAGCAUUACACAGACACCCGUACAGAUAAAAGCUUCCAGAACGGUUUCCGAACAGGCCAAGAGCAAGGUAGCUAGACAGAAACCAGGCAAGUGAGGAUGUACUAGUGAUGACUUGGGCUAUGCUUUUCUGCACAAAGUAAGACUUCCAAUCAAACUGAGAGCUGUGUUCAGACAUGCCAGUCUUGUAGGCAUUUAUACUUUGCUGCUUGUGAGCUGAGUGCUUAAAGCCAUCUCAAAUCACUCAUCACUGAUAUUAAAGGCAAACGCCUGGAAAUAUGACAGU